rnacentral:rRNA from 1 species
CCUACGGGAGGCAGCAGUAGGGAAUAUUGCUCAAUGAGGGAAACCCUGAAGCAGCAACGCCGCGUGGAGGAUGAAGGUUUUCGGAUUGUAAACCCCUUUUGUUAGAGAAGAAAAUGACGGUAUCUGACGAAUAAGCACCGGCUAACUCCGUGCCAGCAGCCGCGGUAAUACGGAGGGUGCAAGCGUUACUCGGAAUUACUGGGCGUAAAGGGCGCGUAGGCGGGAUAGCAAGUCAGAUGUGAAAUCCUAUGGCUUAACCCUAGAACUGCAUUUGAAACUGUCAGUCUUGAGUAUAGGAGAGGUAGGUGGAAUUCUUGGUGUAGCGGUGAAAUGCGUAGAGAUCAAGAGGAAUACUGAUUGCGAAGGCGACCUGCUAGAACAUAACUGACGUUGAUGCGCGAAAGCGUGGGGAGCAAACAGGAUUAGAUACCCGAGUAGUC